UGGGGGAGUGAAGGUCGAGCUGCAGAGGAUGAGUGUCUUUUUUCUGGUGUAAAUCUGUGCUGCGCCGCCCCCCUGACGCAAACCUCCGGCCGCGGAGCGACUACGGACCUGAAGUCUGAGUCCCCCGCCCCCCGCCCCAGUGAAUGCAGACGUCGCCGUUAGCGGUGGCUUUGGAUUCGCCCCGAGGUUGCUCCCUGCCCUUGGCUUUUCUGCCCUCGGUCCACGUAGUGACCGCCUUUCACUGCGUUUUCCUGCUUAAAAGCCUUUAGUACCUCCGCCCCGCCACGUGAAGUUCUCUUGAGCUAGGGGCCCCCCGCCCCCCAGCCUCGGCCUCUCGGCCCCUGGAGGCGGCGCCGUCCGGCUCUGGGAGAGGCCGCGCCCUCCGUCUGGUCCUGGGAUCCUGGGGAGCCCGCCCCUCUCCUGAGACCACCCCCCCCCCAGCCCCUCUGUCCUCGCGUCUCCUCAGGCCGGUGUUUCUGUCUCGCAGGCGUCCCCUUCGUAGUCAGCCCGUCCCCUGACCCCGCGUGGGGGGUGGGGGUGACCUGGGGCAGCCGUGUGACACAUAGUGUUCUUCUGUCCAGAAUCCCACCCUGUGGGAAAUGGUCUUUUGCUGUAGGCGGCAUCUUUUUCAGUCUCCAUCCCUGUAAAUACGUGGGCCAGGGGGAUCACGAGAAGCAAAGAGCGACUGAGAGUGAUAAACGUCAGAACGAGAAAAUAAUGGAGAAUCGAUGGGAAUAUGACGGGUGGCUGAGGGACUUGUAAAAAGACAGUGAAAUGAAAGCGAUUAAGCAGUGAAAAUUGCAGCUGAAUAAAAUAAAGAAGUAAAAUUUUAACAAGUCGGAUCUCUAGGGAUUGGAGAGCAACUGAGAGGGGCCCUGGACAGCGGCGGGGCGGGGGUAACAAAGCAGAGGCACGUCACACAGUGCGGGGCGAGAGGGUGAAAGACUUAGAACCUUGGGCUACAGAGCAACGCGGUGCUGGGAGAGAAAGUGGACAGAGUGUGACCAGAAGAGGAGCGGAAGAGAGAGAGCUGGAAGGAAGCAUAGCCACCUGGGGUGCCAGAUGGGGAGCAGGAAGGGAGUGUAAGAGCGGUAGAAGGGGUGUAACCUGGAGGCCAGAGAGGGAGCAGGUGGGGGAAGAAAGGCCGAAAUACACAGAGAUUUAGGGCAGUCAGACAGGUUGGGGAGAAAGAGCAUCAAGAGGGAGGACUGGUUGCAGAGUGGGGGCAGGACAGGUGUGAGGGAAGAGGUAGAAAGGAGGGCAGGAACAGCAGGAGAGCAGAGGGGAAAAAAAGACAGAAACAGGAAGGGAGAGAAACUAAAUGAAACGGAAACACAGUAGUGCAGGUAGGUGGUGGGAACUGGAUGCAGAGGGAUGGUGAGUUAUUUGGAUGUGGAUGAUUAAGUUGUGAUAUAUGUUUUUUUUGGAAUGUAGUAAAAUUAAAUUUUCUAUAAUUAUGCAGAUGUGGGUGAGAAUUUCAGAACUCCUUUCUUAUGCAUUUUGUAAUUAUUUGUAUCAGACGAUAAUUUCCAUUUGUAAACCCUAUUUAGCCAGUUGGCAGUGAUUUAAUGCACUCAGUUGUGAGUCACCCCUUCCCUUUUUCUCCCUGACAUGGGGCAGAGGAGUAGGGAGAGGCCACGUGGGGCAAAAAGUCAUUGAAUCUGUCACUACAUGAUGUCUUGGAAUCCUGCCUGCUUUCUCCUCUUUAUCUUUUAUACUGGAAAAUCUCUUUGAGGAAGAGGAGGAAGGGGAAAGAAAAGGAGUUAGGAAUGACUCUUUCUCAGCCCAUAUGGAAUCAUGUUGAUAAACACAGUUGACUACAGUUGAUACAUGUUCGGUGUCUGAGGGGUUUGGAAAUGCACAUGAAUAACAGUGAUGAAGAAAACUGAAAGUCUGUGCAGAGGACACGCC